rnacentral:rRNA from 1 species
GACGAACGCUGGCGGCGUGCUUAACACAUGCAAGUCGAACGGAAAGGCCCUGCUUGCCGGGUGCUCGAGUGGCGAACGGGUGAGUAACACGUGGGUGAUCUGCCCCUUACUUUGGGAUAAGCCUGGGAAACUGGGUCUAAUACUGGAUAGGACCAUGCUGUAGGUGGUGUGGUGGAAAGAUUAGUUUCGGUAAGGGAUGAGCUCGCGGCCUAUCAGCUUGUUGGUGGGGUAAUGGCCUACCAAGGCGUCGACGGGUAGCCGGCCUGAGAGGGUGGACGGCCACAUUGGGACUGAGAUGCGGCCCAGACUCCUACGGGAGGCAGCAGUGGGGAAUAUUGCACAAUGGGCGCAAGCCUGAUGCAGCGACGCCGCGUGGGGGAUGACGGCCUUCGGGUUGUAAACUCCUUUCAGCCAUGACGAAGCCCUUGUGGUGACGGUAGUGGUAGAAGAAGCACCGGCUAACUACGUG